rnacentral:lncRNA from 1 species
AGUCGCGUACACAAGCUCUAAAUUCAGCAGAGCUGAGUACAACUACACGACCACGGACCAAGAGUGUUUAGGAACUGUCCUAGCACUUGAAGAGUGGCGCUGUUACCUCGAGGGUGCAUCGGAUGUCACUUUAGUCACCGAUCACCAACCGCUGGUCUAUUUGCAAGAUCAGCAAAGCGCCGAUAAACUCUCUCGACGACAAGCUCGUUGGUUGGAACGCCUCUCACGUUUCGACUUUAAAUGGGAGUACCGACCCGGACGAAUCAACGUUGCUGACCCUCUCAGUCGGGUCCACGACGUGGUGCUGAACGUGCUUACGGCAUCGCUGAUUGGCAGCGAUAUUGGGCGCCGAAUCCUAAGCGGGUACGACGGCGAUCCCAUGCUCAAGAAGAGCUCGGUAGCAAAACUGCAGCUUAAACGGAAAGACGGCUUCUGGUAUUACGGUUCCCAGUUGUACGUUCCGGAUGUGCUUGACUUGCGAAAGGACAUCAUCCACGAAAAUCACGAUGUUCCUUACGCUGGCCACCGCGGCAUUGACCGNACCAAAAAAGCGAUCGCGAAACAUUUUUGGUGGUCCGGGUUGGAUACUAACGUGAAGGCCUACGUUAGUACCUGCCCUUCUUGUCAGCGCAAUAAGGCUUCAAAUCAAAAGCCAGGCGGACUGCUGCAGCCCCUUCCCAUUCCAGAUAACGUUUGGGAUAGUGUGUCAAUGGAUUUGGUCACACAGCUACNNNNNNNNNNNNNNNNNNNNNNNNNNNNNNNNNNNNNNNNNNNNNNNNNNAAAACCAUUAAAGAAUGGCCGAUACCGACAGACUUGCAAAAGCUGCGUUCGUUCCUUGGCUUAGCCAAUUAUUUUCGAAGAUUUAUCCAAGGAUAUUCUUCUCUCGUGGCCCCCCUCACGUCACUCACCAGUGCGAAGGUGCCCUACCACUGGACGAAGGACUGUCAAGGCUCCUUCGAGGGCGUGAAGUCUGCCUUAACCAACGCACCAGUAUUAAAACUCCCUGAACUAGACAAACCCUUCACUGUCUGGUCCGAUGCGUCGUUACACGGCACGGGCGCCGUACUUUUACAGAACGACCGCCCAGUCGCGUACACAAGCUCUAAAUUCAGCAGAGCUGAGUACAACUACACGACCACGGACCAAGAGUGUUUAGGAACUGUCCUAGCACUUGAAGAGUGGCGCUGUUACCUCGAGGGUGCAUCGGAUGUCACCUUAGUCACCGAUCACCAACCGCUGGUCUAUUUGCAAGAUCAGCAAAGCGCCGAUAAACUCUCUCGACGACAAGCUCGUUGGUUGGAACGCCUCUCACGUUUCGACUUUAAAUGGGAGUACCGACCCGGACGAAUCAACGUUGCUGACCCUCUCAGUCGGGUCCACGACGUGGUGCUGAACGUGCUUACGGCAUCGCUGAUUGGCAGCGAUAUUGGGCGCCGAAUCCUAAGCGGGUACGACGGCGAUCCCAUGCUCAAGAAGAGCUCGGUAGCAAAACUGCAGCUUAAACGGAAAGACGGCUUCUGGUAUUAUGGUUCCCAGUUGUACGUUCCGGAUGUGCUUGACUUGCGAAAGGACAUCAUCCACGAAAAUCACGAUGUUCCUUACGCUGGCCACCGCGGCAUUGACCGCACCAAAAAAGCGAUCGCGAAACAUUUUUGGUGGUCCGGGUUGGAUACUAACGUGAAGGCCUACGUUAGUACCUGCCCUUCUUGUCAGCGCAAUAAGGCUUCAAAUCAAAAGCCAGGCGGACUGCUGCAGCCCCUUCCCAUUCCAGAUAACGUUUGGGAUAGUGUGUCAAUGGAUUUGGUCACACAGCUACCCACAACCCGCAAUGGGCAUGACGCGAUAGUAGUGUUCGUGGACCGCCUGAGCAAGAUGACGCACUUCGCUCCCACAACCACAUCCGUCGGUGCGGAAGAUCUAGCCCGCCUCUUUGUGGCUACGGUUUUCAAACAGCACGGCCUUCCACAGAAUAUUGUGUCUGACCGGGACACACGCUUCACAAGCAACUUUUGGAAGGAA